AUUGAAAUUUCAACAUGGCGGACGAUGAGUUAGAAGCACUGAGAGCUCAAAGAAUGGCUCAACUGCAAUCCCAAUAUGGGGUAAAAUGUCAUAAUAUUUAAAGUUAAAUAUGUAGAAUAGAUAGGGUCUUACUUACAUCGUAUACAUUGUUUAAAUGUUAUGUUUUAAUUAUUAUCAGUGAUACCAUGAUACACCAAUUGACCAAGUACGUGCAUGUUAGAGAACAGGUAUGGUCAACCGAUGUGGUGCAUAAGUGUAUGUACCACAUAUUUUGUAGGGUGGCGGGGCUGGAAGGCCGAGUCAGGAAGAACAAGAAGAGAAGGCCAGACAGAUGACUGAGAUGAAGAACUCCAUUCUGAGUCAGGUCUUGGACCAACAAGCCAGAGCAAGACGUAGGGGUUUAUGUGCUUGUUUAUCAAAAACUCUCUAGAAAUCCUCAGUUAAAUUUGUCCGCUGGUAUUAAGCCAAUAUGCAUACCAUUUGGUACGCUUAUCAUAAGAUGGUGCCAAGCCCUGCAGUUUCGUAAAUUUACAUUGCUCUAGUUAUUUAUUCAUGCCUACAAAAAGAUAUACAUUCCAUAAAACAAAUAAGAAUUUCUGGAUAUGCAUACCAUCUGUAUGAUACCACUUAUAUAGAAAUUGAAUUGUUUUUCUAAGGAGAACUACAUACAUGUAUGCUAUGCUCUUUCCUGUGGAUUUUAGUUCAUCAUUUUGGCAUUAUAUAACUUAAGUUAUUGCAAUAAUAAAAUUCAGAAUGUUCAAUUUCAAUAUGCUGAAGUUUUAACAUGCCCAGUCAGUUGUUCAUACAAAUAAAUUUGUAUGCCCACAACAAAAAAUAUGCAUCUUAGAAGGUCAGGAAGACAGCUAUUUCAAACACUGCUGUAAAUGAAUUAUGUUAUGCAUGUUUGAUAUUUGGCAGAUAUUGUUUUAUUUUAUUAACGAAGUAAGCAUAGUAAGGCAUGAUUUAGCACUUAUUUGGAUCUAUAUUUUUCAUACAUUUAUAUGUAUGACAAUUAAAAACCUCUUGAUUAAUCAUGUGUCAUUUGUUUCACAGAAUAAGCUAAAUAGAAUAUAUGGCCAAAAUAAUGUGAGCUACUGAGACCCUGUCUUUACUGAUAUUUAUAAACCUGGUGGCUUUUUAGAUCAUUCUAGUUGCAUUGUCAUGAAUUAUAUUGUGAUAAAUUUCUAAUUUGCAGUUAACACAAUAGCUGUAGCUAAGCCAGAAAAAGCUAAAAUGGUGGAGAACAUGCUCUGUCAAAUGGCUCAAUCAGGACAAAUCCAGAACAAGAUUGGAGAACAACAGCUGAAAAGUUUGUUGGAGAGAGUGUCCGAGCAGACGGCAAAGAAAACCACAGUAAAGUUCAAGAGGAGAGGACUGGAUGAUUCAGAUGAAGACUAGAGUAAAUGGAUGUGGAUGUGUGAAUCUGUUGGCUGUUGUAGAAAUUUAUAACAGCAGUAAUGCUAGUACUGACUGAUAAAUCAGUGGGCUAUAACUAUGUACCGGUAUAUUGUGUGCUUGUUAAUCUACUGUCUGCAGGGUUAUCCUUACAAAACAUCUUAUGAACUGAAAUAAUGAUCCUGAUCCUAGGAAUUUCCCUACCUGCUUCCCCAUACCAAAGCUAGGAGGACCUUUUGGAGCAUCCCGCUGAGAGCUAGAGUGGUUCUUUUUUAUUAUUUUAAUAAAUAUGAUGUUCUUAUUAUCAGAAUUAAAUUAUUU
rnacentral:misc_RNA from 1 species